CUGGGUUGGGAAGAUCCCCUGGAGAAGGGAAAGGCUACCCACUCCAGUAUUCUGGCCUGGAGAAUUCCAUGGACUAUACAGUCCAUGGGGUUGCAAAGAGUCUGACAUGACUGAGCAACUUUCACUUUCUAAUAGAAAUUAAAACAAAAAAAAAUUUUUUUUAAGUUUAUAGUAUUUUAAAUAGUCUCAUAGAGCAACUAGACAUUACUUAGUCCCGAGUUUCUGUCAUUUAGUUUGACACCAGAAAUCCAGUUGUAUACUUGGUGAUUUUCCUAAUGUUUAAAGAUAGCGGGAGAACCCUAACUUAUUAUCAAACACAGCUUGCCCAUGGUCUUGACAACAGGACAGGGUUAUCAAAUUACUCUACCAAGUGCAUAACCUACCAUUCCCUGAGCAGCCAGUAGAAAUUUGGCAAAUCACAGAGAAAGUUGGUAUUUUGUGGACAUCUAUUCAAAACAGAGCUAAACAUGUAAUUUCCUUCUUGAGUAAUUUGGAAGUCUCCCUCAAGAACCGCCAGUUUGUAGUCUGAGUCAGAUAUCUAAACUAAUAUUCAACCUAGGGGGCAAAACUGGCAGGUGAAAGGGUGACAGUUAUUGCACAUGAAGUUAAAGGGAAAAUAUACCUCGUGACUGCCUCACACAGGAGCAGUGGUGUGUAUCAGCAGAUGGCAAGCACAACAUUGGAAGCCCAGUCAACAACUCUUGGUGUGGUGCGUUGUAAUAUCUUUCUCCAGCACCCCGCAAGCACCCCAUCCUGCCAGAGCCUCCAUUGUAUUGAUGCCACAUGGAUGGAUUUUUGUCAGGUGGAACAUGGGCUGGGUGGCAGUACCCUUGGUUGUUGCUGUAAUAGCAGGAUGGCAAGUACCAACUGCUGGCAUCUAUUAAAAGCAAAAGUGACUAAGCUUUUGAAAGUUGGUUAAGUAAUGUGCCACCUGUUCUCUGCUCCACAGACAAGGGAGGAGGAGGGUUGAGUGUGAAUGUGGGAGCAGCGGAGCUUUUAGCAUCCCAAGAGCAUCCUGGAGGCUUGUGUUUCUGAGGGAGUUAUUUAGCCCUAUGGUUUAUGGAGCGGAGAGUUGUGCAAAACCCCUUCCAGCUAUUGCUAAGCUUCCUCUCUCAAUAGCCUGUGGGACGCGUCAAAUGCCCUAGCUAUUUCUUAGUGAGUUUGAGAUUGACGUGUGUACUCUGAUAAAUUUAAAAUGGAUAAUCAACAAGGACCUACUGUAGAGCACAGGGAACUCUGCUCAGUGUUAUGUGGCAGCCUGGACGGGCGGGGAGUCUGCGGGCGGACGGAUCCAUGCACAUGUAUGGCUGCGUUGCUCUGCUGUGCACCUGAAACCGUCACAACAUUGUUAAUUGGCUCUUCCCAGGUGGUUCAGUGGUAAAGAAUCCACCUGCAGGAGAUGCGGGUCUGAUCCCUGGGUCAGGAAGAUCCCCUGGAGGAGGGCAUGGCAACUCACUCCAGUAUUCUUGCCUGGAGAAUCCCCAUGGACAGAGGGCUACAGCCCGUGGGGUCGCAAAAGAGUCAGACACGACUUAGCAACUGAGCACGCAUGCACAUGCUCCAAUAUAAAACAAAAGGCAAAAAAAAUCCUGUGGUAAUUUUGCUGGAUAUUCUCUCCUAUCCCCUCAGGGUGCCUGUGCCUGAAGCCUCUUCCUCCGCCCCCUCCCCAUCUGCCUGCGUUCACGCCUGGGGGGAGGAUGGGAGAGUCAUAGCUAAGGCUGUGAGAAUGACUCAUUUGAUGGAAUGACCGAUAGAGAAUUCCCACAGGGUUAUUCACCAAGAGGGUGUGUCCAAAUUGCCAGGUGGGUCACCAUAUUUUUUGUGGUGAGGACACUUAAGAUCUACCUUCUUAACAAAUUUCAACUAUUCAAUAAAGUGUUAUCUAUAGUAAACAAAACAAAACAAAACACCCUGGUAGCUGGGGACUGCAUUUACUUUCUACUUUGUAUCUGGGGCUUCCCAGGUGGCUCUAGCAGUAAAGAACCCACCUGCCAGUGCAGGAAACAUAAGAGAUGCGGGUUUGAUCCCUGUUUGGGAAGAUCCCCUGGAGAAGGGCAU
ensembl:lncRNA